GCGUCUGAUUAGCUAGUUGGUAAGGUAACGGCUUACCAAGGCGACGAUCAGUAGCCGACCUGAGAGGGUGAUCGGCCACAUUGGAACUGAGACACGGUCCAAACUCCUACGGGAGGCAGCAGUGGGGAAUAUUGCACAAUGGGCGAAAGCCUGAUGCAGCAACGCCGCGUGAGUGAUGAAGGCCUUCGGGUCGUAAAACUCUGUCCUCAAGGAAGAUAAUGACGGUACUUGAGGAGGAAGCCCCGGCUAACUACG
rnacentral:rRNA from 1 species